AGGCCUGAAGAGAGAAGCAGGGUCUGAUCCAAAGCCUGCGUGGCAGCUCUUGAUCAGCACUUGCCUCUCUCUUUCUCUCCA
rfam:Myotis davidii contig208624, whole genome shotgun sequence.